CUGGGGAAGAGGCAGUCCAGCCGCAGGGGCCACCAAGCGGUCUCUCCCUCUCACAGAAGCCGGAACCAGGCAUCUCAGGAGAAGCAGCCUCGCUUGUUUCUGGUGUCAUCGUAGGUGGCCACCUUCGGCUUGUGGGCUCCUAACACCCUGGGGCUCUCGGGCCAGGGAGUGGUGUGUGGGCUCCAGGCCAGAACUGGGAGCAGGCACCAGAGGCAGUGCUUAGCCAGGCCUGAGGAAUUCUCAAGCUGACCACCAUGGGAGGAAAAACCACUCUUGUGGGGAAGAAGGAUGUUAUCCUUAGGGACAGAAUCCUCCAGAUCAUUUCUCCACACCCUCUGACAUUUUCUGCCCAUAUGAAUAUAUAUAUAUAUUUAUAUAUAUAUAUAUAUUUGCACAGCCUCAGCAUUUUUUCUGUCAAUUCUUGCUUUUUUCACUUUCCUAUAGACAACGCAAAUAUUCUAUAGCAAAAAAGUAUGAUAUGCCCAUAAUUGUGAAGCUUUUAUAAGUCAGAAAUAAAGAUCUGAAUCCACCCUCC